UACGAAGGGGGCUAGCGUUGCUCGGAAUCACUGGGCGUAAAGGGUGCGUAGGCGGCUAUCUAAGUCAGUGGUGAAAUCCUGCAGCUUAACUGUAGAACCGCCAUUGAUACUGGAUGGCUUGAGUACAGACGAGGUAGGCGGAGUUUAUGGUGUAGCGGUGAAAUGCAUAGAUACCAUAAAGAACACCGAUUGCGAAGGCAGCUUACUAGGCUGUAACUGACGCUGAGGCACGAAAGCGUGGGGAUCAAACAGG
rnacentral:rRNA from 1 species